GAAAUUAUAAGAGGAUGACGUGUAAUUUAUCCUAAAAUUUUUAACAACCCUCCCAACUGGCACUAAUUAUUAUUGAAGCCCACGAUGGCCCAGUAGAAUAGCACUAAAAUUGUGAUGGGUCCCACCCAUCUAGCACUAAUGAGCAAUCAUGCAACGAAGUUAAAGAUUUAGAAACCUGAAAACGACCUCAAAACGACUCGUGUUUCUGCCUUAGUGGAUGCAACAAAAGGUUUGUCGACAAGCACCGCUACCUGACCGGAGGUUGUUAGGGAGGUUGCGAAGCUGGUGCCGGCGGCCGGAGCUUCUGCAGUGAAUCUCUUCAAAUAGAGCUGACUACGGUGCUCGUUAACGACAGACACCUGACCAAAUUUUUGAGCUUUUAAAAAAAGCUGGCAGAGCUACAGAAUUCCUAAAGCUAAGAAUUCGCCUGUGUGUCAGAAGUGGAAAAAGGUUUGAGGGGACAAAAACUAGAGGUAUUGCCAACAGAUUGAAGAAACAGUUCCAUGCAUUUGUACUAAGCACGUAUAGAAGAGCUUUCUCCGCUCAUCAGAUGAGCGGCGAGCAGCCUUCCCCACCUUGACAGGACAGCACGCGGUGUAGCUCUACAGCUAAUAGGGACAAACGUCUCAUUAUUUCGCUUGGCAGCAUUGGGCAUUCACGUUUUAUUUUUUUAAUAAUUUAAAAAGCUGACAUCGUUUGUGGCAUCAGCUUUUUGACUUUUCCCCAGACGCUGCAAAUUUGAUUUGCGGUGUCAAAUUUGUUCUUUUAAUUGACGCCGCAAAUCAAAAUUUUUUAUUUUCUCCUAUGUGAUCAA